GAUGAAGAACGUAGUGAAAUGCGAUACUUGGUGUGAAUUGCAGAAUUCAGUGAAUCAUCGAAUCUUUGAACGCACAUUGCGCCCGCUAGUAUUCUGGCGGGCAUGCCUGUCCGAGCGUCAUUUCAACCCUCAAGCCCCCGGGCUUGGUGUUGGGGAUCGGCGAGCCUCCGCGCCCGCCGUCCCCUAAAUCUAGUGGCGGUCUCGCUGUAGCUUCCUCUGCGUAGUAGCACACCUCGCACUGGGAAACAGCGCGGCCACGCCGUUAAACCCCCAACUUCUGAACGUUUGACCUCGGAUCAGGUAGGAAUACCCGCUGAACUUAAGCAUAUCAAUAAGCGGAGGA
rnacentral:misc_RNA from 1 species